AUCUCACCCUGGAGCUGCUUAAAUCUGCAAAGCAAGACACAAGAAAAUCAUGACGUUACAUGUCUAUACAAGAUUUAGAAAGCUCCAGACGAGACUAGUAGAGCUGUCACUGUCCUUCGGCAGGUGUGUAGCCUGUCUGUGCUUCUUUCCUUAUCAGUAAAACGGGGACAAAAUUGUACUCACCUCAUGAACUCUUACUGAGGUCUGAUGAGAUAGUGCAUAUAAAGUGCUCAUGCCAACACCCAGGACGUUGUACGCACUCAACACAUAUUCACAGCCAUUACUGUUGUCAUCAUUGUGGCCAUGAGUACUGUGCCCGUUGCCAUAGGAAGCGCAUUGGUUGAAGUUCCUGUAGGAGUUUAGAAGUGAGCACUUCUGGAGUUGGGCGUGGUAGCUCAUGUCUGUAAUCCCAGCAUAUUGGGAGACUGAGGUGGGGGAUCACGUGAACUCAGGAGUUUGAGACCAGUCUGGCAAGAUGGCGAGACUCUGUUGCUACCAAAAAAAAAAAAAAA
rnacentral:lncRNA from 10 species